UCGGAAUUACUGGGCGUAAAGCGCAUGCAGGUGGUUUGUUAAGUCAGAUGUGAAAGCCCGGGGCGUUAACCUCGGAAUAGCAUUUGAAACUGGCAGACUAGAGUACUGUAGAGGGGGGUAGGAAUUUCAGGUGUAGCGGUGAAAUGCGUAGAGAUCUGAAGGAAUACCGGUGGCGAAGGCGGCCCCCUCGGACAGAUACUGACACUCAGAUGCGAAAGCGUGGGGAGCAAACAGGAUUAGAUACCCUGGUAG
rnacentral:rRNA from 1 species